rnacentral:rRNA from 1 species
AACGCUAGCUACAGGCUUAACACAUGCAAGUCGAGGGGCAGCAUGGUCUUAGCUUGCUAAGGCCGAUGGCGACCGGCGCACGGGUGAGUAACACGUAUCCAACCUGCCGUCUACUCUUGGACAGCCUUCUGAGAGGAAGAUUAAUACAAGAUGGCAUCAUGAGUCCGCAUGUUCACAUGAUUAAAGGUAUUCCGGUAGACGAUGGGGAUGCGUUCCAUUAGAUAGUAGGCGGGGUAACGGCCCACCUAGUCUUCGAUGGAUAGGGGUUCUGAGAGGAAGGUCCCCCACAUUGGAACUGAGACACGGUCCAAACUCCUACGGGAGGCAGCAGUGAGGAAUAUUGGUCAAUGGGCGAGAGCCUGAACCAGCCAAGUAGCGUGAAGGAUGACUGCCCUAUGGGUUGUAAACUUCUUUUAUAAAGGAAUAAAGUCGGGUAUGGAUACCCGUUUGCAUGUACUUUAUGAAUAAGGAUCGGCUAACUCCGUGCCAGCAGCCGCGGUAAUACGGAGGAUCCGAGCGUUAUCCGGAUUUAUUGGGUUUAAAGGGAGCGUAGAUGGAUGUUUAAGUCAGUUGUGAAAGUUUGCGGCUCAACCGUAAAAUUGCAGUUGAUACUGGAUAUCUUGAGUGCAGUUGAGGCAGGCGGAAUUCGUGGUGUAGCGGUGAAAUGCUUAGAUAUCACGAAGAACUCCGAUUGCGAAGGCAGCCUGCUAAGCUGCAACUGACAUUGAGGCUCGAAAGUGCGGGUAUCAAACAGGAUUAGAUACCCUGGUAGUCCACACGGUAAACGAUGAAUACUCGCUGUUUGCGAUAUACAGCAAGCGGCCAAGCGAAAGCGUUAAGUAUUCCACCUGGGGAGUACGCCGGCAACGGUGAAACUCAAAGGAAUUGACGGGGGCCCGCACAAGCGGAGGAACAUGUGGUUUAAUUCGAUGAUACGCGAGGAACCUUACCCGGGCUUAAAUUGCAGAUGAAUUACGGUGAAAGCCGUAAGCCGCAAGGCAUCUGUGAAGGUGCUGCAUGGUUGUCGUCAGCUCGUGCCGUGAGGUGUCGGCUUAAGUGCCAUAACGAGCGCAACCCUUGUUGUCAGUUACUAACAGGUUCCGCUGAGGACUCUGACAAGACUGCCACCGUAAGAUGUGAGGAAGGUGGGGAUGACGUCAAAUCAGCACGGCCCUUACGUCCGGGGCUACACACGUGUUACAAUGGGGGGUACAGAGGGCCGCUACCACGCGAGUGGAUGCCAAUCCCCAAAACCUCUCUCAGUUCGGACUGGAGUCUGCAACCCGACUCCACGAAGCUGGAUUCGCUAGUAAUCGCGCAUCAGCCACGGCGCGGUGAAUACGUUCCCGGGCCUUGUACACACCGCCCGUCAAGCCAUGGGAGCCGGGGGUACCUGAAGUGCGUAACCGCGAGGAGCGCCCUAGGGUAAAACUGGUGACUGGGGCUAAG